rnacentral:lncRNA from 1 species
GUACAAAAUGUGAGGAUUCUAUUUUGUAUUCUUAGUUUAAAAUUUUUUUCUAGUAAUUUAUUUUUUAAAAAAGAUUUUAUUUACUUAUUUGCAAGAAAGAGAGAGGGAGAGCAGGAGUGGGGGGAGGAGCCGAGGGAAAGGGAGAAGCAGACUCCCCACUGAACAAAGAGCCCGAUCCCAGGACCCCGGGAUCAUGACCUAAGCUGAAGGCAGACGCUUAACCUGAGUCACCAAGGCCCCGUAGUAAUUCGUUUUUACUGUGUUUUACAAGCAUCUGCAUUAGAUUGGAAAUUUUAAAAAUGUGGUCCUUCACCAGAGUUGUAGAAGCUCUGAUUUUAGAAGUCAAGUUCAAGGAUGAAAGUAUUUGAGAAUGAUCGUCCUAGGACAAUCAGCAAAUAACCAGUACCACACUUCUAACUCUGCUGCCUUCCCCACAAUUAUACUCAGAGAAUUUUAUGCAGCAAGAACAGAAGCAUAUUGAGGUCAGCGCUCCCUGUCCUUCUGUGGCAAAGUUAUUUAUGAUAUCCUUCGCUUCAUCCAGCUUGCCCCCUCAAUAAAGCAUCUGGAAAGAGUCCAAAGAAAAGAGUCGUGUUUUCCAAGAAACCAUGGGAAAACAGCAUUAGAAACCCUGAGGAAAUAUUGGAAUACCGAACUGUUACUUCUUGCCAACAGAACUUUGAGGAAGACACGCAUGCCCAUGCCUCCUCAGCACGAGCAUUUUCUAUCAUUAGGGUCAUGCAUUUAUAGAUCAGAAAAACAACUCUGUUUCAUCCUAAUCUAUUGGUUGGAAUGAAUAUCUUCACAGCUCUGAGAUCUUCUUAAAAUAAGAGGUCCCUUAGUAGUCUAUUCUCAAACAACAAAUGAAAUGGAACUAAAUAUACUAGACUUUGGUAUGCUCACAGCCCUGGCUCUUGACAGGGUAGCUUCUUAUUCUAGGAUCACAGAGUCUUCCUAUCUAGACUGAUUUCUUCUAGGAUGGAUGACAUCCUUUUUUUUUCCCCCCACCCCCUGCUUCCUGUACACUUACCUUGUGUAGAUUCAUCUAAUGAAUCUGUAAACAUUAUUGUCUAAUAUGUUACGGACACCCUGUAAAGGUUAUUAAUAUCUAUUCUCUGGCACAGUGCUAAAUAGUUUUUGUAACUGUGGUUUUGAAUUGAACCAAUAGAAUACUUUUGUAUUUGUGUGUCAGACUUUCUCUUACUUCUUCCAGGAAGGCAGCACCGAAUCAUUUUUAGGCCUUUUUUUUUUUUUAAUUGAACUCUAAUCGACAUACAACAUCCUAGUUUCACUUUUAUAUAACGUCAUCUAUCAUUGUUGGUCCAAGAUUAAACAGUGUUUUUGCUCUUUGGGCUCACAUGACGCAAGGUAUGAAAAGACUUAUAAUCAAAACACUCCUUAAGUGGCUUGGUGCAGCCCAGGAACGUUUUCUGGAAUUACCCAUAACAUAGCAUGAAGCCAAAGGAGUUUUAAAAACACCUUCUCUUUCUUUCCAUCAGGACUUGUCCUAAGUUGUUGCUCACUGUCAGAGCUCGCUGCACACACAUGGGCAGAGUACCUCUUGUGUGUAAGGAGUUAUAUUAUCUGUUCAGGUAUUAAUUUGCCUAACCAGAUGGGCUCUAAGUGCUCCCCGGGGCCAAGGACAGAGUCUUACUCAUCGCUUCAGGCACCUUCUUCUGUGCCUGUUUAUUGACUUAAACAGGUUGAACCAAACUCCACACCCAAAACCCAGGACACAAAAGACUGGAAUCAGAGGGCUGAGUGGAAGAAAGGGGAGGCAUGGAAGACCGGGGCGAAAGAUCG